GCACAAGCGGUGGAGCAUGUGGUUUAAUUCGAAGCAACGCGAAGAACCUUACCAGGUCUUGACAUCCCGCUGACCGCUAUGGAGACAUAGUUUUCCCUUCGGGGACAGCGGUGACAGGUGGUGCAUGGUUGUCGUCAGCUCGUGUCGUGAGAUGUUGGGUUAAGUCCCGCAACGAGCGCAACCCUUGAUCUUAGUUGCCAUCAUUUAGUUGGGCACUCUAAGGUGACUGCCGGUGACAAACCGGAGGAAGGUGGGGAUGACGUCAAAUCAUCAUGCCCCUUAUGACCUGGGCUACACACGUGCUACAAUGGCCGGUACAAACCGUUGCGAUGCCGCAAGGUGGAGCUAAUCGGAGAAAGCCGGUCUCAGUUCGGAUUGCAGGCUGCAACUCGCCUGCAUGAAGUUGGAAUCGCUAGUAAUCGCGGAUCAGCACGCCGCGGUGAAUACGUUCCCGGGC
rnacentral:rRNA from 1 species